rnacentral:rRNA from 1 species
UACAGAGGUGGCAAGCGUUGUUCGGAAUUACUGGGCGUAAAGGGUGCGUAGGUGGCGCUGUAAGUCGGGUGUGAAAUUUCGGAGCUUAACUCCGAAACUGCAUUCGAUACUGCGGUGCUUGAGGACUGGAGAGGAGACUGGAAUUCAUGGUGUAGCAGUGAAAUGCGUAGAGAUCAUGAGGAAGACCAGUGGCGAAGGCGGGUCUCUGGACAGUUCCUGACACUGAGGCACGAAGGCCAGGGGAGCAAACGGG